CCUACGGGAGGCAGCAGUAGGGAAUCUUCCACAAUGGGCGAAAGCCUGAUGGAGCAACGCCGCGUGGGUGAAGAAGGUCUUCGGAUCGUAAAACCCUGUUGUUAGAGAAGAAAGUGCGUGAGAGUAACUGUUCACGUUUCGACGGUAUCUAACCAGAAAGCGACGGCUAACUACGUGCCAGCAGCCGCGGUAAUACGUAGGUGGCAAGCGUUAUCCGGAUUUAUUGGGCGUAAAGGGAACGCAGUCGGUCGUUUAAGUCUGAUGUGAAAGCCUUCGGCCUAACCGGAGUAGUGCAUUGGAAACUGUGAGGCUGGAGUGCAGAAGAGGAGAGUGGAAUUCCAUGUGUAGCGGUGAAAUGCGUAGAUAUAUGGAAGAACACCAGUGGCGAAGGCGGCUCACUGGUCUGUAACUGACGCUGAGGUUCGAAAGCGUGGGUAGCAAACAGGAUUAGAUACCCCUGUAGUC
rnacentral:rRNA from 1 species